rnacentral:rRNA from 1 species
UACGUAGGGUGCGAGCGUUAAUCGGAAUUACUGGGCGUAAAGCGUGCGCAGGCGGUUCGUGAUGUCUGAUGUGAAAGCCCCGGGCUCAACCUGGGAAUGGCAUUGGAAACUAGCGGGCUGGAGUGUGGCAGAGGGGGGUGGAAUUCCACGUGUAGCAGUGAAAUGCGUAGAGAUGUGGAGGAACACCGAUGGCGAAGGCAGCCCCCUGGGUCGAUACUGACGCUCAUGCACGAAAGCGUGGGGAGCAAACAGG